CCCUUAGAUGUUCUGGGCCGCACGCGCGCUACACUGACGGAUUCAACGAGCUUACAACCUUGGCCGAAAGGUCUGGGUAAUCUCCAAAAUCCGUCGUGAUGGGGAUAGAUUAUUGCAAUUAUUAAUCUUCAACGAGGAAUGCCUAGUAAGCGCAAGUCAUCAGCUUGUGUUGAUUACGUCCCUGCCCUUUGUACACACCGCCCGUCGCUCCUACCGAUUGAAUGUUCCGGUGAGCUCUUCGGACUGCGCGGUCUGCAGUUUCUGCGUUCCGUGCGGAAAGUUGCGCAAACCUUAACAUUUAGAGGAAGGAGAAGUCGUAACA
rnacentral:rRNA from 1 species